CAUAAGAUGGCCUGAGAACUGUGGUGGAUUUCUGCAAACAUGUCUUUCUCCCUGGAGCUCAAUUACAAGCAUCAUAGCAGAAGAAGGGCUGGGAUUCAGCACAAGCCACAGAAGAUGGUACUUGCAAUCAAUUAACUCAAAGCCAAAGACUGCAAUAUAACAGUCAAGACGCAGAAAUGAAGGAUGCAACCAUGAAUCUUAGCAAGGUGAUUAAAUAACUGGAAGAAUACAGACACAGAUAGACUGAAGCCUGCAAACCAAAAACUGAGUAUUUCUGUGAUAGCCCUAACAUUUCCCUUGAAACAUCUCAUGCAUUUAAGAUUAAAAGUUUGUCCCAGUAACUACUGGCAAGAAGAACAAGAAGCAAAACAACUCAA